CUGCAAAGAGAUAUUUGGGAGUGCAUGGAGGCUUAUGGUGAAAAAAAUCUCUUCAAAUACAUCUAGAAAGAAGCUUUUGGAGAAAUUGAUUUGUGAUGUGUCCAUUCACGUCACAGAGAGUUAAACCUUUUAUUCAGAAGUUUGGAAACACUGUUUUGUCCAUUCAGCAAAUGGACAUUUUGGAGUUCUUUGAGGCCAAUGGUGAAAAAACGAAUAUCCCAAGAUGAAAACUAGAAGGAAGCUAUCUGAAAAACUGCUUUGUGAUGUGUGCAAUCAUCUCACAGAGUGAAACGUUG
rnacentral:lncRNA from 10 species